UACGGAGGGGGCUAGCGUUGUUCGGAAUUACUGGGCGUAAAGCGCGCGUAGGCGGACCUGCAAGUCGGGGGUGAAAGCCCGAGGCUCAACCUCGGAACUGCCUUCGAUACUGCGGGUCUCGAGUCCGGGAGAGGUGAGUGGAAUUCCUAGUGUAGAGGUGAAAUUCGUAGAUAUUAGGAAGAACACCAGUGGCGAAGGCGGCUCACUGGCCCGGUACUGACGCUGAGGCGCGAAAGCGUGGGGAGCAAACAGGAUUGAGA
rnacentral:rRNA from 1 species